GACGAACGCUGGCGGCGUGCUUAACACAUGCAAGUCGAACGGAAAGGCCUUUUCGGAGGUACUCGAGUGGCGAACGGGUGAGUAACACGUGGGUGAUCUGCCCUGCACUCUGGGAUAAGCCUGGGAAACUGGGUCUAAUACCGGAUAGGACCGCACUUUAGUGUGUGUGGUGGAAAGUUUUUUCGGUGUAGGAUGAGCCCGCGGCCUAUCAGCUUGUUGGUGGGGUAAUGGCCUACCAAGGCGGCGACGGGUAGCCGGACUGAGAGGUUGGUCGGCCACAUUGGGACUGAGAUACGGCCCAGACUCCUACGGGAGGCAGCAGUGGGGAAGAUUGCACAAUGGGCGCAAGCCUGAUGCAGCGACGCCGCGGGGGGGAUGACGGCCUUCGGGUUGUAAACUCCUUUCGCAAGGGACGAAGCGUUUUGUGACGGUACCUGGAGAAGAAGCACCGGCUAACUACGUG
rnacentral:rRNA from 1 species